rnacentral:rRNA from 1 species
AUUGAACGCUGGCGGCAUGCCUUACACAUGCAAGUCGGCCGAGUGGCGAACGGGUGAGUAACAUCUCGGAACGUACCGAGUAAUGGGGGAUAACUAAUCGAAAGAUUAGCUAAUACCGCAUAUUAUUCGAGCGGCCGCUAUCUGAUUAGCUGGUGGGUGGGGUAAAGGCCGACCAAGGCGACGCUCAGUAGCGGGUCUGAGAGGAUGAUCGGCCACACUGGAACGGAGAAACGGCCAAGACUCCUACGGGAGGCAGCAGUGGGGAAUAUUGGACAAUGGGCGCAAGCCUGAUGCAGCCAUGCAGCGUGUCUGAAGAAGGCCUUCGGGUUGUAAAGGACUUUUGUGAGGGAGGCGGUACCUGCAGAAUAAGCACCGGCUAACUACGUGCCAGCAGCCGAGGUAAUAC